UACAGAGGUCUCAAGCGUUUGUUCGGAUUCAUUGGGCGUAAAGGGUGCGUAGGUGGCGGGGUAAGUCAGGUGUGAAAAUUUCGGAGCUUAACUCCGAAACUGCAUUUGAUACUGCCUUGCUUGAGGACUGGAGAGGAGACUGGAAUUCACGGUGUAGCAGUGAAAUGCGUAGAUAUCGUGAGGAAGACCAGUGGCGAAGGCGGGUCUCUGGACAGUUCCUGACACUGAGGCACGAAGGCCAGGGGGAG
rnacentral:rRNA from 1 species